GACGAACGCUGGCGGCGUGCUUAACACAUGCAAGUCGAACGGAAAGGCCCUGCUUUUGUGGGGUGCUCGAGUGGCGAACGGGUGAGUAACACGUGAGUAACCUGCCCUUGACUUUGGGAUAACUUCAGGAAACUGGGGCUAAUACCGGAUAGGAGCUCCUGCUGCAUGGUGGGGGUUGGAAAGUUUCGGCGGUUGGGGAUGGACUGGCGGCUUAUCAGCUUGUUGGUGGGGUAGUGGCUUACCAAGGCUUCGACGGGUAGCCGGCCUGAGAGGGUGACCGGCCACAUUGGGACUGAGAUACGGCCCAGACUCCUACGGGAGGCAGCAGUGGGGAAUAUUGCACAAUGGGCGGAAGCCUGAUGCAGCAACGCCGCGUGCGGGAUGACGGCCUUCGGGUUGUAAACCGCUUUCGCCUGUGACGAAGCGUGAGUGACGGUAAUGGGUAAAGAAGCACCGGCUAACUACGUG
rnacentral:rRNA from 1 species